rnacentral:tRNA from 1 species
GCCCAUAUAGUUAAGUGGUAUAAUAAAGCCAUGGUAAGGCUUAGUUCGCAGUCCGAUUCUGCGUGUGGGCA